rnacentral:rRNA from 1 species
CGGAGCUUGCUCCACCGGGAAAAGAGGAGAGGCGAACGGGUGAGUAACACGUGGGUAACCUGCCCAUCAGAAGGGGAUAACACUUGGAAACAGGUGCUAAUACCGUAUAACAAUCGAAACCGCAUGGUUUCGUUUUGAAAGGCGCUUUACGGUGCCGCUGAUGGAUGGACCCGCGGUGCAUUAGCUAGUUGGUGAGGUAACGGCUCACCAAGGCCACGAUGCAUAGCCGACCUGAGAGGGUGAUCGGCCACAUUGGGACUGAGACACGGCCCAAACUCCUACGGGAGGCAGCAGUAGGGAAUCUUCGGCAAUGGACGAAAGUCUGACCGAGCAACGCCGCGUGAGUGAAGAAGGUUUUCGGAUCGUAAAACUCUGUUGUUAGAGAAGAACAAGGGUGAGAGUAACUGUUCACCCCUUGACGGUAUCUAACCAGAAAGCCACGGCUAACUACGUGCCAGCAGCCGCGGUAAUACGUAGGUGGCAAGCGUUGUCCGGAUUUAUUGGGCGUAAAGCGAGCGCAGGCGGUUUCUUAAGUCUGAUGUGAAAGCCCCCGGCUCAACCGGGGAGGGUCAUUGGAAACUGGGAGACUUGAGUGCAGAAGAGGAGAGUGGAAUUCCAUGUGUAGCGGUGAAAUGCGUAGAUAUAUGGAGGAACACCAGUGGCGAAGGCGGCUCUCUGGUCUGUAACUGACGCUGAGGCUCGAAAGCGUGGGGAGCAAACAGGAUUAGAUACCCUGGUAGUCCACGCCGUAAACGAUGAGUGCUAAGUGUUGGAGGGUUUCCGCCCUUCAGUGCUGCAGCUAACGCAUUAAGCACUCCGCCUGGGGAGUACGACCGCAAGGUUGAAACUCAAAGGAAUUGACGGGGGCCCGCACAAGCGGUGGAGCAUGUGGUUUAAUUCGAAGCAACGCGAAGAACCUUACCAGGUCUUGACAUCCUUUGACCACUCUAGAGAUAGAGCUUCCCCUUCGGGGGCAAAGUGACAGGUGGUGCAUGGUUGUCGUCAGCUCGUGUCGUGAGAUGUUGGGUUAAGUCCCGCAACGAGCGCAACCCUUAUUGUUAGUUGCCAUCAUUUAGUUGGGCACUCUAGCAAGACUGCCGGUGACAAACCGGAGGAAGGUGGGGAUGACGUCAAAUCAUCAUGCCCCUUAUGACCUGGGCUACACACGUGCUACAAUGGGAAGUACAACGAGUCGCGAAGUCGCGAGGCUAAGCUAAUCUCUUAAAGCUUCUCUCAGUUCGGAUUGUAGGCUGCAACUCGCCUACAUGAAGCCGGAAUCGCUAGUAAUCGCGGAUCAGCACGCCGCGGUGAAUACGUUCCCGGGCCUUGUACACACCGCCCGUCACACCACGAGAGUUUGUAACACCCGAAGUCGGUGAGGUAACC